AUCGCAAAUUUAUCAAGCGGGUUGCUAGCAACUAGUGGACGUCGCGGCAGGUUAUCUUCGUAGUACCGCACUUGCUUUGUACAUGGCUAUUAUCCAAACACUACUGUAAAAGGCCUAAGCUGGGCCGCAUGUGUCACAAAAAAUAUACUUUACACCAAUAAGCUUACUUUGAAAUUAUGCAAUCAUCUAAUGUUGCCCCUGAUACAUUCACAUGGUAUGCACAUUGUAUGUUCAUCCCUCAUGGAAGCAUUGAAUAAUGGAAGCCAACCUGAAAGGGUCCUACAGUUGAUGAAAUUCAUGAAGCAAAAACAGAUACCGUUGAACCAAAAGGCUUAUUUUGAGAUAAUAGCUUCAUGCAGCAUGCUACGGGAAUGGAAAACAGCCAGUGAAAUAAUUGAGCAAUUGGAUUCCUCCCUCUCAUCCAUUUCUGUUGGCACACUAAACCAUCUUUUGAAUUUUCUUGGAACCGUGCAAGUGAUUGUUUGUCUAAAAAAACAGUAUAGUGAUGACUGUUUUUGUAUUUGCACUGAAUUAAGGAAUGCAUAUUCCUCUAAUCUGUUCACUCAAA